GAGUAAUACAUCGGAACGUGUCCUGUACUGGGGGAUAGCCCGGCGAAAGCCGGAUUAAUACCGCAUACGAUCUGUGGAUGAAAGCGGGGGAUCUUCGGACCUCGCGCUACAGGGGCGGCCGAUGGCAGAUUAGCUAGUUGGUGGGGUAAAGGCCUACCAAGGCGACGAUCUGUAGCUGGUCUGAGAGGACGACCAGCCACACUGGGACUGAGACACGGCCCAGACUCCUACGGGAGGCAGCAGUGGGGAAUUUUGGACAAUGGGCGAAAGCCUGAUCCAGCAAUGCCGCGUGUGUGAAGAAGGCCUUCGGGUUGUAAAGCACUUUUGUCCGGAAAGAAAACCUCGUGGUUAAUACCCGUGGGGGAUGACGGUACCGGAAGAAUAAGCACCGGCUAACUACGUGCCAGCAGCCGCGGUAAUACGUAGGGUGCAAGCGUUAAUCGGAAUUACUGGGCGUAAAGCGUGCGCAGGCGGUUCGCUAAAACAGAUGUGAAAUCCCCGGGCUUAACCUGGGAACUGCAUUUGUGACUGGCGGGCUAGAGUAUGGCAGAGGGGGGUAGAAUUCCACGUGUAGCAGUGAAAUGCGUAUAGAU
rnacentral:rRNA from 1 species